rnacentral:lncRNA from 1 species
GACUGACAUGCAACUUGUUGCAUAAAGAUGACUGGCCGGUGUUUGUUUCUUCAACUUUAGUUGAAUCGGAUUUGACCGAGGCUGUCCUUGGAGAAGGUUAGAUAGCAAUUUGCAUAUCACUGUUGUGGCUUUGCGUAAGUAAGAUGCGACCAUACUAGAUACCCAUAGCAGCCACGUAAAACAUGCAACAACAAAUUAGAGGACGUCUAACUUGUUUUUGCAGGGUAGGCAUGUGAUGUGAUAUGUCCAAAGACAUGAUGUGAUAUAUUGGAUGCAUGAGAUGAUCAUGUUGUAAUAGUUAAAUAUCGACUUGCACGUCGAUGCUACGGCAACCGACAGGAGCCAUAGGGUUAUCUUUAAACUAACGUUUGUGCUUGCAGAUGCGUUUACUAUAUUGCUAGGUAGUAGCUUUAGUAGUAAUAGCAUAGAUAGCACGACAACCUCGAUGGCGGCACAAUGAUGGAGAUCAUGGUGUGGCGCCGGUGACGAUGAAGAUCAUGUCGGUGCUUUGGUGAUGGAGAUCAAGAAGCACAAGAUCAUGGCCAUAUCCUGUCACUUAUGAUUUGCAUGUGAUGUUAAUCCUUUUAUGAACCUUAUUUUUCUUAGAGCGACGGUAGCAUUAUAAGGUGAUCCCUCACUAAAAUUUCAAGAUAAAAUUGUGUUCUUCCCGACUGUGCACCGUUGCGACAGUUCGUCGUUUCGAGACACCACGUGAUGAUCGGGUGUGAUAGACUCAACGUUCACAUACAACGGGUGCAAAACAGUUGCACACGCGGAACACUCGGGUUAAACUUGACGAUCCUAGCAUGUACAGACAUGGCCUCAGAACACAAGAGUUCGAACGGUCGAGCAUGGAUCAUAUAGUAGAAAUGAUCAACAUGGAGAUGUUCACCACUAAAACUAUACUCAACUCACGUGAUGAUCGGACUUGAGU